rnacentral:tRNA from 1 species
GCGCCGCUAGCUCAGAUGGUUAGAGCAGCUGACUCUUAAUCAGCGGGUCCGGGGUUCGAGUCCCUGGCGGCGCACC